AUUGAACGCUGGCGGCAGGCUUAACACAUGCAAGUCGAGCGAGCGGCGGACGGGUGAGUAAUGUCUGGGAAACUGCCUGAUGGAGGGGGAUAACUACUGGAAACGGUAGCUAAUACCGCAUACCAUCAGAUGUGCCCAGAUGGGAUUAGCUAGUAGGUGGGGUAAUGGCUCACCUAGGCGACGAUCCCUAGCUGGUCUGAGAGGAUGACCAGCCACACUGGAACUGAGACAGGGUCCAGACUCCUACGGGAGGCAGCAGUAGGGAAUCUUCCGCAAUGGGCGAAAGCCUGACGGAGCAAUGCCGCGUGAGUGAUGAAGGUCUUCGGGUCGUAAAACACUGUUAUCAGGGAAGCGGUACCUAAUGAAAAAGCCCCGGCUAACUACGUGCCAGCAGCCGCGGUAAUAC
rnacentral:rRNA from 1 species